CGGGCGGGGCUCAACCUGGGGCUGGAGUUCAGUCCUGCUUGGCUGCAGUUCCCGAAGCUGUUCCCGGAGGUCUGGCCGAGGUCGUCUCCUCGGGAUCCUAAUCGGGAUGGGGACAAAGGCGGAAACUGGGAGGAAACAUUUGCUUCUCUUUACACUGGCGAACCUAUUCUCCCUGGUGCUGGGCAAGGGUUCCGUGUACACCUCCAAUCCUGACGUCCAAGAGGCUGAGAAUAACCCGGUCAAGUUGCCCUGCACCUACUCUGGCUUCACCUCCCCCCGUGUGGAGUGGAAGUUUGACCACGGCGACACCACCAGGCUCGUUUGCUAUAAUAACAAGAUCACUGCUUCCUAUGCGGACCGUGUUACCUUUUCAACCAGCGGCAUCACCUUCAGUUCGGUGACUCGGGAGGACACAGGGACGUAUACAUGUAUGGUCACUGAGGACAGUGGCAACAGCUACGGGGAGGUCCAUAUCCAGCUCACUGUGCUUGUGCCUCCGUCCAAGCCCACAGUCAACAUCCCCUCCUCCUCCACCAUUGGCACCCGGACGGUGCUGACCUGCUCCGAACAGGAUGGCUCUCCACCCUCUGAAUACUCCUGGUUCAGGGAUGGGGUCCUGAUGCCUGAAGAUCCCAAGAACACCCGUGCCUUUAUCAAUUCUUCCUAUACCCUGAAUCACAAGACAGGGGAGCUGACCUUCAGCCCUCUGACAUCUGCUGAUACUGGAGAGUACUCUUGUCAGGCACAGAAUGGGGUUGGGACACCCAUGAGGUCAGACAGCAUCCGCAUGGAAGCUGUGGAGCAGAAUGUGGGGGGCAUCGUGGCAGCUGUCCUCAUAACACUGAUUCUCCUUGGAGUCUUGAUUUUCGGCAUCUGGUUUGCCUAUAGCCGAGGCUACUUUGAGCGAGCAAAGAAAAAGUGAGUGAAAUGUAGCGCCAGGGUUCUCUGAGGCUGAGAACAUGGAUGUGACCUCGUCGAGUAAGAAGGUGAUCUACAGCCAGCCCACUCCCCGGAGUGAGGGGGAAUUCAAACAGACCUCGUCGUUCCUGGUGUGACCCGGGCCGGCUCAUCUCUUGUUUCUGAUGCCCAUGUUCCUCAGGAGCUCCUAGACUCUGGUCCUGACAUCUGUAGAUUCACAGGAUGCCUUGUUUUCUAGACCCACAGGAUCCCCCACUUAGUUAGGAUGUGAUUUUAACAAUGUCAGCUUUGUGCACCUUCCUCUUCACCACAUUCCCUCCCUUUCAUACCACUGCUGAGUGGUUCCCCUUCCCCUGCCCUACGGGAGAGCGGGAGAGCGGACAGGAGCCUGGGUGCCUACUGACUUCCCCUCUAAGUAGACAGCUUAAGUGAUGGGGCUCCCGGCAACCUGAAACCACUACCUGGCCUGCCUGUGGCCUUUGGAUAAGGAUCUUGAGCCUGACUCCUAGGCUUUCUGCUUCCCCGGUGGGGACUGGAGAGCGAAGCAGCUGAAAGAGUGGUUUGGUUGUGAUAUUGGCUCUUCCGUCUUGGAGCCCACCUGCCUAUCUUCCCAUGAAAAGUGCCACUGGGACCCUCCUGCCCUGUCUUCCUGAACACAAGCAAACUGAAACUGUGUCUGUAAGAAAAUAGGGAAGCAGAGUAAAUUCUCAGAGACCUGGAGCAAGAAAACGUUUAAAACCAUGGAUCUAAAGGAAAGAAAAUUGGAACAACUGGACAGACCUUUAGAAUAUACCAGGAGGGAUGUGGGGAUGUGUGUGUGUGUGUGUGUUAGUCUGGGCUCUUUGCUGAGAGAAAGAGAGUGAGAGAGAGAGUGAGUCCGUGGUCUUUGCUGUAUGCUGACUGAGUGGAGUGGUUGAAGAGCUUCUUAGCUCUUUGGUGAGCUGCAGUUUGUGUGUGGCUGAAUUAGCUGGAUGUGUUGGAAAUAAAAACUUGGUUUGUCAAUGCUUCUUUCUGUGGGGAAUGGGGAAAUGAGGUCAUUGAGGGUCCCUGGGCUCCUUUGUACAAACAGGAAAAUGCCUCAAAGCCCUGCUUCCUGGCCACCGGGGGCUGGUCUCCAGGGCCCUGUGCUGCCCCUUCACUUCUGGAAUUCAGACCCUUGUUCCCUGUAUGUGGCUCCCUUCCUCUGCUGGGGGAGGGUGCUGGGGAGAAGCCCGGGGUGUGCUCACUUCACCAGGUGAAAGGAGGAAGUGCCUGCCUUCCUGCCUAACAGGGUGCAUUAAUGGGCUCCCCAAAGCUAGAGGAAAAUCUGCUAUGAACGGUGAUUUCUGGGAUUAUUUGGAAAACGAUUUUUAUACUAAAUUAAUACUUUAGUGAGUGGAAGGUUCAGAAGAUAUUUCAGAGAUAGCAGGAAUAAAUAGGAUAGGCCUGGUUGUCAAUGAAUUCCUCCUCCCAUUUGGACCUUUUUAUUUUUUAUGGUGCUGGGGAUCGAACCCAUUAACUUGUGCAAGGUAGGCAAACCCUCUACCACUGAGCUACAGUUCCAGCUUCCCCUUCCCACCAUUUUAAAAUUUUGAGACAGGAUCUCUAAGUUGCCCAGGCUGGCCCCCGGCCUCAGCCUCUGGAGUGGCAAGGAUCGGUCAUGUAUCCCCAUGUUGAGCUAUUUUGGACUCUUCUGCCCUUAAGUUUCAGUUUCCCAUCUACCACAAACCUGCAAUCUAUUAAAUAGUAAGAGGACAAAUAAAAGGGUCCUCUAGGUUUGCUUUUGUUUAUUUACUUGGAGGAUAGAACCCCCUAACAGUCUCCAGCAGUGGAGAUUGAAACUAGGGUCAGGGUUACAAGGGCUCUAGCACCAAGGCACAGCUCUCUCUUUGAGACAGGGUCUUAAGUUGCCUAGGUUGACCUUGAACUUUUGAUCUGGCCACCACCUCCUGAGUAGCUGGGAUGAUAGGCAUGUGCCACCACACCCCUAAAUGUACAAUCAAGGACCCCCCCCCCCAAAGCGAAACUCUAUCUGUUAAUGAUUAUGUAUUAAUAAAACGUUUUCUCCAGGGGAAAUAAGAUACUAUGAGAUGACAAAAAUGAGAUGGGUCAGUAAGGAUGAAAAUUUUAAAGUAUGUCCCUGUUUUUAGGGUUUAUCUUUGGUACGGGGGAUUGAACUGGAGACCUUGUGCUUGUGAGAUGGCAGGGUGGGAGGGACCUGAAGGAGUGCUUUGAGGAAAUAAAUGGGUGAUUCUCUGCUCUAAGUCCGAGGUGAGGUGACGUUCUUCACUUGGCCACUUGUGAGCCUGAGUCAUUCCUCAGCUUUGGCGUUUACCUUUCUAGCUUACAACAGCCCUUUGGAGUUGGAAAAGAUUGUGUCUGCUUUCAUCUUAAAACAUCAAAACUAAUUUUUGUAAUAAAUGUUUAUUUUUCACAUUGA